rnacentral:lncRNA from 1 species
UUGUUUUCAGUUCCAACUAGAACGAUUCUUAUUGAUUACAGUUUUACAGUCUACCUUUUAACCUCAUGGAAUUUUUACAUGGUUCACCGGAAAAGAAAUCUCCAGAUCCCCUAAGAUGAAUCACCUAGUAUUCUGUCCCAACUCAUGAGUUUGAGAAUCAACGCUGCAUCAUCAACAUGAACCGUCCUAGGUGGAAACCACCAUUACUUGGACAGAAAGAACCGGCAUGGUUUGAGAAUCAAAACUGCAUCAUCAACAUGAAUCAUGCAAUUAGAAUCUAGUUAAAGUAACAGUCCUAAUGCCAGCUUUUUGACAAACUAAAAGUCUAUGACUACACACAAGCAAAACAAGUCUAGAUACAGACAUAGAGUGCUUAAGUAGUAGUUUGCAACAAAUUCCUUGCUUUUCAGCCGGGAAACAGGUUAAAGGACAUGAAGAAUUUACUCAUAGUAAAAUGAAUGCACAAAAAUAAAAAGGCACAAGUUUCUGCACAUCUGCAGCACAAAAUUGCAGCAAGUUUCUACUCUUGGAUUCUUUUAAAGAGAAGGCAAUGGUUAACAUUCUGGAUGGGGCAAGUUGUCCGUUUUGGGAAGAUCUCUGGAUGCUUAAGAGUCCCUAAACAACAUUUCCCUGAGCUCUAUUCUUUUGCUAAGGAUUCAAUUCACUCAAGUCUGCCAGGGAGGCAGCAGGCCCGGCCUCUUUGCUUCAUCUGCCUAUUUCAUCAACUGCAUUGCAGCAAUUGACAGCACUAUCCCAAGACUUUUCUAGCAUUAAUGACACUCAUGAACCGGAUUUCUGGUCAUAUAUUUGGGGGGUCACCUAUCUACUCCUCCUCCAAAGCAUAUAUCCACAUCACUGGCCAUAGAGUGGUACAUGCAGCUUUCAAAUGGCUAUGGAAGUCGGCGUGUCAAAAUAAGCACAGAGUUUUCUUCUGGCUUCUUCUCAAGGACAUGCUCAGCACCAGAGAAUUAUUGAGGCGAAAAAACAUCUUCUCCCUUAUCAUACCUGUGUAUGCUGUGUAGACAGUGAAAAAGAAUCAUUGGCUCAUCUUUUUAUUCAUUGCUCUUUUGCCCAAGCUUGCUGGGCCUCCAUUGGUCUUUUGGUGGGUGCAGAUGGCCCAUUUGAUACGCUUCUAGAUCCCAAGGACCAGUUGGGCGUUCCGUUCUUCAUGGAAGUGAUCAUCACCCUGAGUUGGUGCAUUCGGAUGCAGCGAAAUAAUCUCAUUUUAAAGGAUUGCAGCCACACCCUAAUAAUUAUCUUAGUCACUUCAAGAGAGAAUUUGCCCUAGUUAUUCUAAGGGCAAAAGCAAGUUUAAAA